AUCCUGCCAAAUUCCAGCUGCGCUAAUUGUAUUGUGUUCACAGAGCUCACAAGCUAUCAGAAAGUUGUAUGGCAACCACCUCCGGCGCCAAAUAGAACUGGCAGACAUAGACAUUCAGUACAAGAAGAAAAAGAUGGAAAAUCUUGCACUGGAGUCCGAAAUAAAAAAGAGGACAAUUAGGAAACUGGACCUUGAAAUAAAAAAACUUGAGAGGGAGCUCCAAGAAGAUGACACAGCUCAAAAUAAAAAUUAGGUAUAUUCUCGUAAAGUCAAGUGAGCCAUGACAUAUGAGCUCUUAUUGUGAGCACACAGGACGGUGGCAUCUUUCUACGAUUUUUUUUAUUUUCCCAGCAAUCAGUACAACCAAGUCAUCGUUAUAAGGCAUCGCCCUCUUUUGCCCACCCCCCCAGCACCAGGUGUGGCCACUAGCCUAUAUGAAGGCCCAAAAUUGUGUGUUCCUUUCUGCUCUGACAAUGGCAUGCCCAUUCGUGCGAGAUGUGGUGGAUGAAGAAGCACUUGUGCUGAGGAGAGCCUUCAGGCGAGAAAGGGUCUUCAGGGACCGGUUGGACCCACUGGCCUUCCCUGAUGACCAUCUAUAUGAAAGAUACAGGUUUUCUGCAGAUGGCAUCAGGUAUCUAUGCAGACUACUGGGUCCCAGGAUUAAGCACCGCACUGCACGGAGCCAUGCACUGAGUGUGGAGCAAAUGGUUUGUGUGGCCUUGCGCUUUUUUGCUAGUGGAGCCUUCCUGUACUCAGUGGGGGAUGCUGAACAAGGCCACAAUUUGCCGCACAAUGAGGAGUGUGUGUCUGGCUAUCAAAGCAUUAGCAGAUGUCUUCAUCUCCUUCCCUGGCCACAGAAGACUCUGUGACAUCAAAGAGGAGUUCUAUAGGAUUGCAGAUGGUCUGCAAUGCUGACUGUGUGAUCAGCAAUGUUGUGGCAAAAUGGCCUGGCUCAGUCCAUGACUCCAGAAUCUUUCGGGCCUCUGAAAUCUAUCAGUGCCUAUCA